rnacentral:tRNA from 1 species
GUGGUAUUAGCUCAGUUGGUUUAGAGCGUCCCCCUGUGGAGGGGAAGGCCGCCGGUUCGAGUCCGGUAUACCACC